rnacentral:misc_RNA from 1 species
GAAAUGCGAUAAGUAAUGUGAAUUGCAGAAUUCAGUGAAUCAUCGAAUCUUUGAACGCACCUUGCGCUCCUUGGUAUUCCUUGGAGCAUGCCUGUUUGAGUAUCAUGAAAUCUUCAAAGUAAAUCUUUUGUUAACUCAAUUGGUUUCUACUUUGGUAUUGGAGGUCUUUGCAGCUUCACACCUGCUCCUCUUUGUUCAUUGGCUGGAUCUCAGUGUUAUGCUUGGUUCCACUCGGCGUGAUAAGUUAUCUAUCGCUGAGGACACUGUAAAAGGUGGCCAAGGUAAAUGCAGAUGAACCGCUUCUAAUAGUCCAUUGACUUGGACAAUACUUUUAUGAUCCGAUCUCAAAUCAGGUAGGACUACCCGCUGAACUUAAGC